AUUGAACGCUGGCGGUAUGCUUAACACAUGCAAGUCGAACGGCAGCACAGACUGUAGCAAUACAGUUGGGUGGCGAGUGGCGGACGGGUGAGUAACGCGUGGGAAUCUGUCUUAAAGUGGGGGAUAACUCGAGGAAACUCGAGCUAAUACCGCAUAUCAAGCUUGCUAGAAAGGGGGCCUCUGUUCACAUGCUUUCGCUUUAAGGUGAGCCUGCGUCUGAUUAGCUAGUUGGUAGGGUAAAGGCCUACCAAGGCAAUGAUCAGUAGCUGUUCUGAGAGGAAGACCAGCCACACUGGGAAUGAGACACGGCCCAGACUCCUACGGGAGGCAGCAGUGGGGAAUAUUGGACAAUGGGGGAAACCCUGAUCCAGCAAUACCGCGUGUGUGAAGAAGGCCUGCGGGUUGUAAAGCACUUUUAUUGGGGAGGAAAAGUUAAAAGCUAAUACCUUUUAACCGUGACGCUACCCAAAGAAAAAGCACCGGCUAACUCUGUGCCAGCCGCCGCGGUAA
rnacentral:rRNA from 1 species